rnacentral:lncRNA from 1 species
UGCUACUUCUACUACUACUAUUUUUAUGGUUGCUACUACUGAUACUACUACUACAGCAGGCACUACUGAUACAACCGCUACUAAUGCUAUUGUUACUAUUAUUACUAUUUCUACUACUGCUACUACCACUGCUACUACUACUGCUGUUAAUACUGUAACUGUAAUGGCCUCAAAAAUUCAAAAAGAAAUACAUAUAAUAAUCUGAGUGCUGAAGCGAAAUAAAAGAUUAAGAUUAACAUCCCUUACACAAUAACUUAAAAGUACUAUACAACAUCACAGAAUAAGUUCUCUGAAAGAAAU